AUUGGGCAAAUGAGGAAACUCAUUUAAAUGGGUAAUUUGCGUCUGAAAUUCCAUUGAUGCUAACACCUUGGAGAUCUGAUGCCCAUU